AUCAUUUUUAUCUUCAGCUUCUGUUGUUUAUUCUUAUGACAAAGAUGAUAGCCAACGUUCUAAGCCUUUGUUAGUUCAGAUGGAUUGCAAUUAUCAUGGAUAUGUUGCAGGUUUUCCAAAUUCUCGUGUGUCACUCAACACUUGUUCAGGACUCAGGUU